GACGAACGCUGGCGGCGUGCUUAACACAUGCAAGUCGUACGGUAAGGCCCUUUCGGGGGUACACGAGUGGUGAACGGGUGAGUAACACGUGAGUAACCUGCCCACAACUUUGGGAUAACGCUAGGUAACUGGUGCUAAUACUGGAUAUGUGCUCCUGCUGCAUGGGGGUGGUUGGAAAGCUCCGGCGGGUGUGGAUGGACUCGCGGCCUAUCAGCUUGUUGGUGGGGUAGUGGCCUACCAAGGCGGCGACGGGUAGCCGGCCUGAGAGGGUGACCGGCCACAUUGGGACUGAGAUACGGCCCAGACUCCGACGGGAGGCAGCAGUGGGGAAUAUUGCACAAUGGGCGCAAGCCUGAUGCAGCAACGCCGCGUGCGGGAUGACGGCCUUCGGGUUGUAAACCGCUUUCAGCAGGGACGAAGCUUUUUGUGACGGUACCUGCAGAAGAAGCACCGGCUAACUACGUG
rnacentral:rRNA from 1 species